CCUACGGGGCGCAGCAGUCGGGAAUAUUGCGCAAUGGAGGAAACUCUGACGCAGUGACGCCGCGUGCAGGAAGAAGGUUUUCGGAUUGUAAACUGCUUUAGACAGGGAAGAUAAUGACAGUACCUGUAGAAUAAGCUCCGACUAACUACGUGCCAGCAGCCGCGGUAAUACGUAGGGGGCAAGCGUUAUCCGGAUUUACUGGGUGUAAAGGGAGCGCAGACGGCAGUGCAAGUCUGGAGUGAAAGCCCGGGGCCCAACCCCGGAACUGCUCUGGAAACUGUGCGGCUAGAGUACUGGA
rnacentral:rRNA from 1 species